UUUACGGAGAGUUUGAUCCUGGCUCAGGAUGAACGCUGGCGGCGUGCUUAACACAUGCAAGUCGAACGAUGAAGCUGGAGCUUGCUCCGGCGGAUUAGUGGCGAACGGGUGAGUAACACGUGAGCAAUCUGCCCUUGACUCUGGGAUAACUGCGGGAAACUGUAGCUAAUACCGGAUACGACGCCUUGGGGCAUCCCACGGGCGUGGAAAGAAUUUCGGUCAAGGAUGAGCUCGCGGCCUAUCAGCUAGUUGGUGAGGUAAUGGCUCACCAAGGCGACGACGGGUAGCCGGCCUGAGAGGGUGGACGGCCACACUGGGACUGAGACACGGCCCAGACUCCUACGGGAGGCAGCAGUGGG
rnacentral:rRNA from 1 species